rnacentral:lncRNA from 1 species
GCUGUGCUGCAUAAGAGAAACAAACGCUGCCACUAGAGAAAGCUCUGCGGAUACUCAGAUCCUUGAGGCACUUGACAGUGUUUGUGUGAAAGCCGAUGAAAACCACAGGGUAUGAUGUGGUGUCAUGAACUCCAGUUCCUUUCUGGAGCUGUUUCAUGCUCAUGGGUAGAAGUCAUGUUUAUCUUACACCAAGCCUCUGUUAGGUCUCCACGGAGAGGAAGACAACUAAGUUAGAGACUAUUUAGUAGUGGCUCAAUGAAGCAGAGCCAAGUGGAUUAAGCAAGCAGUCUACGAAGUUCAACAACUGAACCAAGAAGACAGAGUUCCGUAUUCUUAGUCCAACAUGGACUUGCUCCCCAUUGACUGCUAGAGCCAUACAUGGCUAUGCAGAAUCUCACCUAGAACCCUGCAGACGAGUCAAGAGGGGAAAACGCAGGAACCGGAUGACAGGCAUUGCUUAAUCUUGUCUAUGUCGAAAAAUGCAACGUGACAUGGCAGUAAUGUUAAGAGCACGGUGAGAGCGCAGUUCUUGGUGAGCACUCUUCCCAGAGUUCCAGCUCAGUUACCACACAUGGGGAUGAACCAGCAUCCAGCUCUAACCGUGUUAAGAUGAAAGUACUAGUAUCUGUCAUACAAUUCAUGCAUUAAAAAAAAUGCUGCUGAGGAUCAAAUGAUAGCAGUCUGCAAAG